CUGCAGGUCUUCAGAGGAAUGUCAGGCUGAGGGCUGCAUUCCUGCUGGGCUGUGUUUUCCUGGGUUAGUGCCUGGUGCCAGGCAUUUUUCUGUGCUGAUUUGGUGAAUGUUGUUUCAGAGGAGCUGGUGUGAGCAGCACAGGAGUCCUCCACACCUCAGCAACUUUCUGCUCUCUGUUCCACCAGAGUGAACCAGGAAUGGAGCAGCUCUUUUGGGAAGUUCUGUGAACCCUUUGGUUUGUCUCUGCUGCAUCUGGGCAGUGAUGGCACAGGAGGUGAGGGAAUCAUUUUGCUUCUCCUGAGGCAGCUUCACUAAAAGGUCACACCCUAUGGACCAGAGCUGAGCUCUGGUUUCUUUUGCACUGUCCCUACCCCUCAGGAGCUGACUGCAAGCUCACACAGGUGAUGUUCCUUAAAUCCUUAACUUCCAGAAGGACAGAAUUGCAUCAGAACCUCCACUUUCAGCUCACUCAGCUCAGUUCAUCUCAUCUCUUACCUGGGCCAAGACAAGUGCUGCCCAUCUCACCCUUCAUGGAGAUCACUGGACAAGAGGAGUCGAGGCCACUGUCUGCUGUGAGCUUCCCAGCUGGUCCACCUGGGAAUUGUAAAAUUCCCUUUCCACGCACAGGUAGGAAAUCACAUUUAGUAUUUCAGCCAGUGGGGUAGAAAUGGGGGCAGCACCUCAGAAGCUGCUUCUCAACCACUCCCUGAUUUUCAGCCCAGCCACAGUGGCACGUUGGGAGCUGUUUCAGCAGGCACCAGGCUCCCUGAGAGCCCGAGCCCAGGCAGGGAGCAGCGUGCUCUGGCCACGUUGCCUCCAUCCUGCCUGUCCCAGCUCGCCCUGAACCGCCUGCCUGUCUGCCCCAAAAAUCCCUCCUCGCUGCUCAAAGGAUAUAAAGGGAACGUGGGGCAAAGCACAGAACAAUUCUUCGGCCUCUGAAGCUGUUAAAAAUAUUUUUGAUAAAGGUACACAUAAGCACAGCUGAGCUCCAGUGAACACCUUCUUGUUUCUCAUGGUAAUUUUAUAUUGUUCCUGAAGCAGAGCCUGAUUUUUCUCUUUGUGAAAGGAGAAUUUUAAUUCUGGUCCUAUUCAUUAAUCAUAUCAAAACCCAAGGUAUGCAGAUGUUAUUUUUCAGUAAUUUUAAGGUGCUGGUGUAUUAGUAAAAGAUUAAGAAAUGCAAAAUAGCUGUAAAGCGUUUGGGUUUUUUCUUGAAGUGUUUGGUUUCCUCACAUUAUUGCAGACUGCAUAUAUCUUUAUUUCUCAGUAAGAGCAAACUGUGGUCCUGAACCUCUACAAUUCCAAAAACAAGCAAAGAUAGUGACUUUUUGAAAGUAAAGAUCAAAUAGUUCCACGAAAAAUGAGCACUGUCACAAAAAGAAGCAUAAACUUCUCCUGCCUAGUGGUGGCUUCCAAGACAUCAGACAUUUUGUAAACCAGCACUCGGAUCCAGACCACGCAGAAUUGGGAUGGUCCUGCUUUUCCUGUUAAUUUUUCCACUAUGAGAGUGUCCAAAACUCUCUGAAAUAAAGGAUUGCUGUCAAGGGGUUCA
ensembl:lncRNA